UACGUAGGCAGCGAGCGUUGUUCGGAGUUACUGGGCGUAAAGGGUGCGUAGGCGGUUGUUUAAGUUUGGUGUGAAAUCUCCCGGCUCAACUGGGAGGGUGCGCCGAAUAUUGAAUGACUAGAGUGCGGGAGAGGAUAGUGGAAUUCCUGGUGUAGCGGUGAAAUGCGUAGAUAUCAGGAGGAACACCGGUGGUGUAGACGGCUAUCUGGACCGUAACUGACGCUGAGGCACGAAAGCGUGGGUAGCAAACAGG
rnacentral:rRNA from 1 species